UACGUAGGUGACCAGCGUUGUCCGGAUUUACUGGGCGUAAAGGGCGCGUAGGCGGCCCGCUAAGUCGAACGUGAAAUCCCCGAGCUCAACUCGGGAACUGCGUCCGAUACUGGUGGGCUUGAAUCCGGGAGAGGGAUGCGGAAUUCCAGGUGUAGCGGUGAAAUGCGUAGAUAUCUGGAGGAACACCGGUGGCGAAGGCGGCAUCCUGGACCGGCAUUGACGCUGAGGCGCGAAAGCUAGGGGAGCAAACGGG
rnacentral:rRNA from 1 species